rnacentral:tRNA from 1 species
GCCCCGAUGGCGCAGUAGGCAGCGCGUGAGUCUCAUAAUCUCAAGGUCGUGAGUUCGAUCCUCACUCGGGGCA